rnacentral:rRNA from 1 species
GCUGGUGGCAUGCUUAACACAUGCAAGUCGAACGGUAACAGGAGAAGCUUGCUUCUUGCUGACGAGUGGCGGACGGGUGAGUAACGCGUAGGAAUCUGCCCAUUUGUGGGGGAUACCAGUUGGAAACGAUGUUAAUACCGCAUACUAUCUGAGGAUUAAAGGUGGCCUUUGUGCUGCCGCAGAUGGAUGAGCCUGCGUUAGAUUAGCUUGUUGGUGGGGUAAAGGCCUACCAAGGCUACGAUCUAUAGCUGAUUUGAGAGGAUGAUCAGCCACAUUGGGACUGAGACACGGCCCAAACUCCUACGGGAGGCAGCAGUGGGGAAUAUUGGACAAUGGAGGAAACUCUGAUCCAGCAAUGCCAUGUGUGUGAAGAAGGCUCUAGGGUUGUAAAGCACUUUAGUUGGGGAGGAAAGCUUAUGAGUUAAUAGCUCAUGAGAAGGACGUUACCCAAAGAAUAAGGACCGGCUAACUCCGUGCCAGCAGCCGCGGUAAUACGGGGGGGUCCGAGCGUUAAUCGGAAUUACUGGGCGUAAAGGGUCUGUAGGUGGUUUGUUAAGUCAGAUGUGAAAGCCCAGGGCUCAACCUUGGAACUGCAUUUGAUACUGGCAAACUAGAGUAUGGUAGAGGAAUGGGGAAUUUCUGGUGUAGCGGUGAAAUGCGUAGAGAUCAGAAGGAACACCAAUGGCGAAGGCAACAUUCUGGACCAAUACUGACACUGAGGGACGAAAGCGUGGGGAUCAAACAGGAUUAGAUACCCUGGUAGUCCACGCUGUAAACGAUGAGUACUAGCUGUUGGAUUCGGUGUAAAGGAUCUAGUGGCGUAGCUAACGCGUUAAGUACUCCGCCUGGGGACUACGGCCGCAAGGCUAAAACUCAAAGGAAUUGACGGGGACCCGCACAAGCGGUGGAGCAUGUGGUUUAAUUCGAUGCAACGCGAAGAACCUUACCUGGUCUUGACAUCCUGCGAACUUUCUAGAGAUAGAUUGGUGCCUUCGGGAACGCAGUGACAGGUGCUGCACGGCUGUCGUCAGCUCGUGUUGUGAAAUGUUGGGUUAAGUCCCGCAACGAGCGCAACCCCUAUUGAUAGUUACCAUCAUUAAGUUGGGUACUCUAUUGAGACUGCCGCUGACAAGGCGGAGGAAGGUGGGGACGACGUCAAGUCAUCAUGGCCCUUACGACCAGGGCUACACACGUGCUACAAUGGGUAUUACAGAGGGCAGCGAAGUAGCGAUAUGGAGCGAAACUCAGAAAGGUACUCUUAGUCCGGAUUGCAGUCUGCAACUCGACUGCAUGAAGUCGGAAUCGCUAGUAAUCGCAGGUCAGAAUACUGCGGUGAAUACGUUCCCGGGUCUUGUACACACCGCCCGUCACACCAUGGGAGUGGGUUGCUCCAGAAGUAGAUAGCUUAACGAAUGGGCGUUUACCACGGAGUGAUUCAUGACUGGGGUG